GGUGGCUCAGUAGUAGAGCGCUUGCCUUGCAUGCAUGCAUGAGGCCCUGGGUUCGAAUUCUCAGCACCA
rnacentral:tRNA from 1 species